rnacentral:lncRNA from 1 species
CUGCUUUGGGGGACUCUCUUCGCAGAAGCACAGGAAGGAAGGACCACGUGGCUUUUCCCAGGCUGUGAAGGAUCCCAAUUACUGGGACACACGGUGGGAAAGCCCCGGUGUCCCUUAAACAAUGGAUAAGGAGGAAACAGGGACGGAAUGAAGUGGAAAGCUGUUCCUACGGAAGCCAUCAGUUAUGAGGUAACUUUUGACUCCCUCUGCAGCCAGCGUUUCCAGACCCAAGGGUGAAACUCAAAGUGGCCUCAGGUCCUACCCACGGAGAUGCUGCUGCUGACAUUUUUUUUUUUUUUUUUUUUAACUAAGAGAGAGAGUGAGAACGGGAGGGGAGGGGCAGAGGGAGAGAGAGAGAACCUUAAGCAGGCUCCGUGCUCAGCGUGGAGCCAGACACAGGGCUCGAUCCCACGAUCCUCAGAUCAAGACCUGAGCUGAAAUCAAGAGUUGGACGCUCAACCGACUGAGCUGCCUACGUGCCCCUGCUGACACUUUUUUAAGCCAGAAAAAAAGGUCAAAGCUGCCCUGGAACCCACCUGUGCUUCUAUGGAGGCACAGUGCUGUUUUAUACUCUGCUGGUCAAAGCGAAAUUAUUACUGUCGUCCUGCAUGUGUUUGCUAAAUAUUCUCCCCGUGAGAGAUGGACGGUGGUGAUGGCUGCACAACAAUGUGAACGUGGUCAAUGUCACCGAGCUGGAUGCUUCAGAUCGGCCAAGAUGGGUGAAUCUUGUUGUGUAUAUUUCACCAGAGUAAGAGAGAGAGAAGGAGAGAGACAGAGAGAGGCAGAGACAGAGAGAGAAAGAAAUAGGGGCGCCUGGGUGGCGCAGUCGGUUGGGCGUCCGACUUCAGCCAGGUCACGAUCUCGCGGUCCGUGAGUUCGAGCCCCUCGUCGGGCUCUGGGCUGAUGGCUCAGAGCCUGGAGCCUGUUUCCGAUUCUGUGUCUCCCUCUCUCUCUGCCCCUCCCCCGUUCAUGCUCUGUCUCUCUGUGUCCCCAAAAAAUAAAUAAACGUUGAGAGAAAGAAAUAGAAGCUGAGAGAGAGAGAGAGAGGCAGAGACAGAGGGAGGGGGGAGAGAGAAAGAGGGACAGGGAAACAGAGGGAGACAGAGAAAGACAGAGGGAGAGAGCAAGUACCGGCAGGCUUUGAAACAAGAGAGACCAGAACUGCAUGCCUUGGUCUAUCAGGCAGGGUUGUUGAGGGGUCUGGACCAGGCUCUGGCGACCAGUGAGCACUAAACACUGGUUAAUGCCGUGACUGAGCCUCAUUACCACACAGCGUUUUGGGCACCGCAGGUCAGAAAGCAGAAGCAACUUGCUCCAGUCCACAAGGCCAUCCGGCCACAGGGUCACAAAGAAUCCCCUAAGCCUGGUUCAGUCCUUACCUCGUGAAGUGACUACACACUAGGAACCGAGAUUCCAAACCACCUGCCCCCACAAGGGCUGUUUGGGCACAAAACUCAGCCCUGAGGAGGAGCCAUGUCUCCACUAGCGUCCCUCUUCCUCUCCCCUGCCAGGGCCCAGGGGCCAGGAGACAGAGGCAGGGGGAGGAGAGGACUACCAGGGGGAGUAUGCAGCAGACUGGGGUCUGGAACAAUAAGAAGAAAGGACUCCUCUCCGUUUCCAAACGGCACUUGCGAAGGGGAACGGAAGGCACACAACAAGGUCCUCACCGGAGCAGCGGAAAUCCGGCGGUUCUUGCCAGGUGUCGUAUUUUUUCGGUUGGCAUAGCGGGAGGCAUAGGUUCGGGGCGGCACCUGAGGGGGCAUGGUCUUGCUCCGGGCCACGGGUUUUCCGGGAGUGUCCUUGCUGAAGUCCAGGGGCCCCCGGCCCUCCUUCCAGCCCCUGGUGGUGUCACGCAACAUUUCUGCAUCGUAGGUUGACUUCAGGUUGAGCCGUGUAAUCGCAUCAUUGAUCCCGUCAUAGUCCACAGGCCCCAGGAGGCGCCCCGGACCCCCACCCCCCAGCUCCUUGUCCUCUUCUAGGAUGCGACACCCUAGCAGUUUGCCUGGAGGGUGCUCGACCGAAGAAAAAGUGUUGACGUGAUUGGGCUGGGAGAUCUUGGAGGAUGAGGGAGACCCCUUUCUGGGAGGCAAGGGAGGGGUGUCCCAGAUAGAGACUCGGGGUGGCAAAGGAGGUGGGGACAGUUUCUUGGAGGAGCCAUCUAUAUCUCCUGGUCCUGGGGACAAAGAAAGCCCUUCAUCUGAACCAUCAAAAAUAUAGAGAUAGUCUCCAGCCAGAGAGCCUUUGGGCCAGGGAUCUGGGCCAGGCUGGGAGCCCUGGGAGGUAGAGUGGUUGGAUAACCCUUCCUGUGGGGACAGCGAGUUGUAAUUGAGGGUAGGAUCAGAGCCAGAAAGACCGCGUAAGAGCUUAAGGUCCUUCUGCCUCCCCGCCGGCUUGCUGUAGAAGUCUAGGACGGGCUCGUCCCAGCUGAUGAGAGUGGGGUCUGUGCUCUGCUUGGCUCUGUUCUCCUCCUUGUCGUGCCGGAGCUGGGACAGUGCAUCAUACUCCAUCUGCAGGGCUUCGGCCAUGGCCAGCUCUUUGCGGCUGAUGCCCACCGACUCCAGGGACUUCCAGUGUUCCCCAUUGCCCUGAGUCGAAGACAUGGUGAGGAUAGGUGACCGAGGAGACAAGGAAGCCUUCUACUUCCUGCCAGUGUCAGGGCUGCAGGGUUCUGGCAUGGUGUCUCGGCACCUGCAGGUGAGGGGUUAAAAAUGUCAAUCAUUCAGCCACGAAAUGACUUGUUUUAAUAAUCUGACUUAGGCGACAUCAUCUGGGCCACUGCCUCCUUCUUGCGUGCCUGUAACCGAUGGGGAGAAACAAAAAGACGGAGAGAAAAAAGAGAUCCCGGGGCGCCUGGGUGGCUCAGUCGGUUAAGCGUCCGACUUCGGCCCAGGUCACGAUCUCAUGGUCCGUGAGUUCGAGCCCCACGUCGGGCUCUGUGCUGACAGCCCAGAACCUGGAGCCUGCUUCGGAUUCUGUGUCUCCCUCUUUCUCUUCCCCUCCCCCGUUCAUGCUCUG